UUUGAAAGAAUAAAAUUUAUUCUAAUCUCUUCGUUUAACUUGUGCAGAAGAAAAAACAAUUUUAACGUUUGGUGAUUGAACACCAGUUGUUGGUUUUGCCGGCUGAAUUAUGGUGCGGAAGUGCUGCGUAAUCAGCUGCAGAUUAUCUGCGCGGCAUGCAGGUCCAGCGGUAUCGUUUCACAGGAUUUCAAAAGACAUCAGCAUGGUCGUCAUCGUUGGAAAGGAAUGGAAUUGAAUUACAAUUAACAAGGUCACCAGUGUCUAUAUGCUCGAAUCACUUUAUUAACGACGACUUCAUCAUAUCUGGUAGAGGCAAACAUCUGCGACGUAGCGCCGUUCCCCGGUUCGGUAUUAUUGACCCGGAAAAACGUAAUAAAAACAUUCGGAGCAAUUUUGUGAAUUCCAACCGACCGCUGGAACCAACUGGUAAAAUUUCAAUACCACCAUCGAAUUCUACUGAUGAGAAUUGUCAAAACAAUCAAAGCAUUGCUGAACCGUCCAUAUCUUACUACAACUAUUCACCACCGGAUAUAGGGGUAAUAGGGGCAUAAUGAGCAUACGGGGCAAAAUGGGCCAUCGUUCGUUUGGGCAUAUUGGGCAAUCAAUUUCGCUAAUUUGAUUAAUGAACUUGUUGAUAAUGUUCUUAAUAAGCAUCUCAACAAAAAUCACGUCCAAAUUCGUUGACAUGUCUGAGAUAUUGAGAAAAAGCUCGAGCCGAUUCAGGAUUGUAAAAAUACUAUAAGAAUUGCAACCCACAAAAUAAGCUCUAUAGCCAUUUGUUGCGUGCUAUGGACUUCUCCACUCCAUGUAAGGUUACUAUUACCAUAUAUGAACAAUUACUUUGUAUAAUUGAGAUAUUUUUUUUGUUUUAUCGCAUUAUUAUAAUUAUUUUUGAUUAGCAUAGCUGUAAGGGGCAUAAUGAGCAUGCCUGGCAAUGUAUUUGUACAUAACCAAUAAAGGGUGGAAAGUAAUAUAAACAUAAAAAUGACACAGUCAAGUAUAAUGUUGCGUAAUUGUAAGCAACAAUCAACCCGAAAAUAGUGCUUACAGAGCAAAAGUUGUGUCUUUCAUCUAUGCCACUUCAACUGCCAUGUUGCCUAUGUUGUUCAACUGAAAAAAAAUCGUUAAAUAGAAACAAUCAUUAAACAACCGCUGAAUGAAAUCAAAAUAGUCACCAUUUCUCUUUUCUUCUAUAUGAUAUAAUCUUUUAUGUUAUUUUCCAGUAAAAACUGGCUAAAAUGAUAAGUUUAACUAACGUGCCCAUAUUGCCCCGUAUAGUGGCCCAUUAUGCCCCGUAUGGGUUUUGAACGAAGCAAAAAGUAUCAUUUUUUAAACAUUUAAAUUUGAUGGCUGUUCAUAGUCAAGCAAUAUUCUAACAUUGUUAAUUUAUCAAAGACAUGUCAAAUCGUAAGUUUAUGGCAAUUAUUAGAAUUUUGAUUACGCACUACAUGUUUUAUGAAGCGUUUUGCUUAGGUGGCCCAUAUUGCCCCUACUACCCCUAUAUACUAUUACCACCGCCUUUAAAGGGCAAACAGAUGGCGUACGGCCUAGGCCCUUGAAUACAAGUCGACCGGAACCUGUCAGUUUGUAUUUUAGUUCCGUGCCUCAGUCAUUUGCUCAAGCUCAAUCAAGCUUGGAUUCAGAGAAGGAAAACGGCCAUGUUCAGCGUAAUGGUUCUUUAUAUGAAAAAUUGAAGUGCUCACAAACCAAAUUCGAAACAAUCUGUGGACAAUGUGACCAUAUGAAACAAGCUACGCUAGGCUCAUUACCGAUUCGGUAUCCGGGUGAUAUCGAUGUUAAGGAUUUGCACAAUCCGGCUGUAGCGAAAAUUGCAUAUUCUCUUACAUACUCAAAGUUAAUGGAAGCAAGAAAAGCAAACGAAACUUUGAAAAAACAGAACAUACGAUUUAAAAGCAAAAUUAAACGCCUGGAAGCAGACUUAAAAGCGGUACAAAAGCAGUUGUCGGAAGUCGCCAUCCUUGGAGAUUAGCUGAUCUGGCGCGAUUUUGAUCGGAAUUCAAAAUUAAAUGAUACCUAACUGAUGGAGCGAACAUAAAGGUCGAAUGUCAUUUUGAAAUUUAAAAAGACAAACCGAUUUGCUUUGCCGAAGGUUAUGUUGCCAUAUGACAUAUUGCUGAAGUCUGUAUUUAUUUUCUCUGAUGUCAAUGUUAAGGCAAAUGGCCAAAAUGUUUGGUAUGAUGAUCUAUGAUGUUUUGUACCUUACUGCCUUAU